GACACCAUUAAGUAGGCACUUCAGAAAUUCAAGAUAUCAAUCUAACCAGUGAUGUGUUCUGUCCAUGAAACAAACAUCAGUUAUUUAACACAGUGAAUGAAUCACUCUUUUCAAAGUCAUUUGCCCCUGGAUUAUAAUUUAACCCUUAUCUGGAGCAUGAACCAGGAACGCAACUGAUGACCAACGUUAAAGAAAGCAUACUCCAGUCUGGUGUGCAAGUUCCUGAUCAAGUGAUGCAGAGCACAAAGGCAACUCUUGUACACCCUUUUUCACCAGUUUCCACAUGCAUUUGACCACGUAUCUGCAUAAAACUGCCUUGAGGGCUUUGUGGCAGUGCGUGUUUGAUGCAGAUGAGUUGCAAGGACCGGAUGCAACUUCUAGCUGAUUGUUUGAGGAGAGCAGGUCUCGCCUGCUGAGCUACUGUUUGAAGAUAUUUUUUAACAACUUUGAGCCAGCAAAGACAGUAAGUUCAAAGCCUCUUGUCCUGAGACAAUGGUUUUCCAAUGCAUGACUAUGCACCCUGAAAGUGGAAUUCCAAUCUCAAGAAAACCCAAUCUGAGAAAUGUCUGCCAGUAAAGCAGGCAUUCCAUAUUUUCUGUUAUGAGACACUCUGAUCCAGCCAUGUCAGAAUGUGCAGUGUCCUUUUAUAUACUUUUAAAAAGGGCCAUCUGGCCGUUCUGACCACAGAGCUGUCAGCAGCCAUCAUCCAAACAAAGUGAUUUUGCUUGUUUAUUGCUGUGACUUUGUGGCUUGUUUUGCUUCGUCCAUUUGUUUUCAUUGUGAAUUGCAGACCAAAGAAACUCGCCAUACUGUAGGUCCAAUUUCUGACAUUUUUUUAGCUGAUAAACAUGCAAGUCAACACACACACUGCACAAGAACUGGUUAUGGUAUAAUCAGACUUCAGAUUUAUUUUAGCUGUUUUCCAAAGCUGUUCUAUAGAUGCAUAUUUCACCAUGGCUUGACUAAGAUAUAAGUACCUGGCUAAAAGGUACUUUAUAAAAAUUUAGGUGAAGUUAUGUCACAGCAAUAUCAAGAACUAAUCAGAUCCCACAAGAAGAUACAGUUAUAUGACAUGCGUGAAAAUUAAAGGGUUUCCUCUCUUUAAAUUAUUGUGUUGGUAUUACAUGUAGUUCUGGUUUAUAUCUAAAUUCUGUGGCAUACAUCCAGUGUAAAUAUGAUGUAAGCCAACGUCAGAAUGUCCUUAUGCAGAAUUGCACUGUUUAACUAAAUCUGUAUAGUAUCUACUGUUUGUUGAAUUGAUAUACCUUUCUAUUUGGAGCUGCCUAUUCUCUUCCACUGUCGCACUCGGAUAAGUUUAAUUAACUUUUCUUUUGUUCUUCUUCAGCCCUUACUUAAUGAAACCCUCCAC
ensembl:lncRNA